rnacentral:rRNA from 1 species
UACGGAGGGUGCGAGCGUUGUCCGGAAUCACUGGGCGUAAAGGGCGCGUAGGUGGCCUGUGGAAGUCUGCGGUGAAAGCCCGGCGCUCAACGCCGGGUCGGCCGUGGAUACUCUCGGGCUUGAGCUCACUAGAGGCAGAUGGAAUUCCGGGUGUAGCGGUGGAAUGCGUAGAGAUGUGGAGGAACACCAGUGGCGAAGGCGACUCUUUGGCCUGUAACUGACGCUGAGGCG